GCGGAUGGGUGAGUAACACGUGGGUAACCUGCCCUAAAGUCUGGGAUACCACUUGGAAACAGGUGCUAAUACCGGAUAACAACAAUAGCUGCAUGGCUAUUGCUUAAAAGGCGGCGAAAGCUGUCGCUAAAGGAUGGACCCGCGGCGCAUUAGCUAGUUGGUAAGGUAAUGGCUUACCAAGGCGACGAUGCAUAGCCGAGUUGAGAGACUGAUCGGCCACAUUGGGACUGAGACACGGCCCAAACUCCUACGGGAGGCAGCAGUAGGGAAUCUUCCACAAUGGGCGAAAGCCUGAUGGAGCAACGCCGCGUGAGUGAAGAAGGUUUUCGGAUCGUAAAGCUCUGUUGUUGGUGAAGAAGGAUAGAGGUAGUAACUGGCCCCUAUUUGACGGUAAUCAACCAGAAAGUCACGGCUAACUACGUGCCAGCAGCCGCGGUAAUACGUAGGUGGCAAGCGUUGUCCGGAUUUAUUGGGCGUAAAGCGAGCGCAGGCGGAAAGAUAAGUCUGAUGUGAAAGCCCCCGGCUUAACCGAGGAAUUGCAUCGGAAACUGUGUUUCUUGAGUGCAGAAGAGGAGAGUGGAACUCCAUGUGUAGCGGUGGAAUGCGUAGAUAUAUGGAAGAACACCAGUGGCGAAGGCGGCUCUCUGGUCUGUAACUGACGCUGAGGCUCGAAAGCAUGGGUAGC
rnacentral:rRNA from 1 species